UGUAUAAUAUUUUUGGUUUAUAUUUUGAAUUGUUUUAUAUUAAAAAAGCAAAACAAAAAUAGUCUAUGUACUAUUUUUUAUUUUUAAAUUACGGAGCACCGGUAUCUAGAAUACCUACAAAGCAGGAAGUGUCGGCACAGCGGCAAUGGGUGUGGAAACUAGGAAGCUAGGGUAGGACCACCACCACCACCUGUCUGCUACAGGGACCAUCUCCAUAAUUAAGGCAGCAGCAGCAGCAGCAGCAGCUAGCUAGCGAGAUUGUUAUUCACAAAGACAUGGCUUGCGUGGUGAGCAGGAUAAAGCAUCCAGUGGAUCCCCAGCAAAGGAAAUCGUGGCUCGAAAAGAACGGUGAGUGACCGGAAAAUGAAUAAAAACAACAACAUCGAUCAUGGCCACAACACAAGUCGGAACAAACCACCGCUGGACCACUUCUUGUAGUGUAAGAAAAUAUACAAUAAGGAUGGAAAAUAUAUGGCAUCAAAAUAUAUAGAGAAUCUCGCCAUGAACAAAUUAAUUAAGCUAUUUUCAGCUC